GUGCUGGCUUUGGCAACACAUAUACUAAAAUUGGAAGGAUACAGAGAAAAUUAGCAUGGCCCCUGUGCAAGGAUGACAAGUAAAUUCAUGAAGUAUUUUUUU
ensembl:snRNA U6 U6 spliceosomal RNA